rnacentral:rRNA from 1 species
AACGAACGCUGGCGGCAUGCCUAACACAUGCAAGUCGAACGAUACCUUCGGGUCCAGUGUCGCAGGGGUGGGUAACGCGUGGAAACCUGCCUAACGCGUCGGAAACAUUCCCCGAACUGGGUGCUAACCCCGUGAAAUGUCUGCUAACCAAAGAUUUAUCGCGUUUGUCUGGGGCUGCGUUGGAGUAGCUAAUUGUUACGGUAAAAGGCUACCAAGGCGACGAUCCAUUGCUUGCCGGGGUGGAUGAACAGCCAAACUGGGACUGAGACACGGCCCAGACGCCUACGGGAGGCAGCGGUGAGGAAUAAUGCAGAGUGGGCGAAAGCCUGAUCCAGCAAUGCCGCGUGAGUGAUGAAGGCCUUAGGGUUGUAAAGCUCUUUCGCUCGUGAGGAUAUUGACAGUACCGGGAUAAUAAGCUCCGGCUAACUCCGUG